ensembl:lncRNA
UGACCCUAUUGCUCCGUAGUAGCCAUGUGCUCGGUAAGAUGUUUGGGACCGUCAAAGUAGUUUGGAUAAAUCUGCAGCUGUUAACUUUGCAAAAGCGAGUGAUGCCAUAUUACAGGUGUGCCAACACCCUGUGUCCUAGCUGGUCACUGGCAUGGUCAGUUGGUGAUCCUGCCUGAAGGGAAGACCGAGCCAGAACCCUGGAAUGAGCAGUCUGUCAAUCAAAAUCUGUCAUCCAUGCCACGCACGCGUCUGAAGACAUGUGGGGACAGAGCCUUUGAAGCUAUGGCACCCAGACUCUGGAAUGCUCUAUCAACCAGCAUUAGGUUUGCUGAGAAUGUGGACUGUUUUCAGGGACAAGUGAAGACUCAUUUGUUCAAGCUAGCGUUUGGGUAGUCUACGUAUUUUACUCUUUUGAUAAUUUGUAUUUUAUGUUGACUGUUUUAAUGUCUAUUCACAUUGUAAUAGACUUUGUGACCUUGUCUGUGAAAAGCGCUGUACAAAUAAAUUUUACUUACUUA